rnacentral:rRNA from 1 species
GAUGAACGCUAGCGGCAGGCUUAAUACAUGCAAGUCGUGGGGCAGCGCAGGUAGCAAUACUGGGCGGCGACCGGCAAACGGGUGCGGAACACGUACACAACCUUCCGAGAAGUGGGGAAUAGCCCAGAGAAAUUUGGAUUAAUACCCCGUAACAUAACGAUGUGGCAUCACAUUGUUAUUAUAGCUUCGGCGCUUCUUGAUGGGUGUGCGGCUGAUUAGAUAGUUGGCGGGGUAACGGCCCACCAAGUCUACGAUCAGUAGCUGAUGUGAGAGCAUGAUCAGCCACACGGGCACUGAGACACGGGCCCGACUCCUACGGGAGGCAGCAGUAAGGAAUAUUGGUCAAUGGAUGCAAGUCUGAACCAGCCAUGCCGCGUGCAGGAGAAGGCCUUCUGGUUGUAACUGCUUUGCCAGGGAUAAAUUUCCAUGCGUGGAAAACUGAAGGUACCUGGUGAAUAAGCCACGGCUAACUACGU